GUGGAAGAGUUUUGGAAAAAGUUGAAAGUGUUGUUCUUGAUCAGAAAUCGUUGGCAUAGGCACAUCGCUAUGUCUUACUUUAUAGUGAUAUAAUAUCCGAGUCUCGCAGAGAAUUUUUAAUAGCUCAGCGAAGUCUCAACCAUAACAUUCGUCCUACACCAAGGAUUGAGCAACGAUGGUUGGUUGAAUUAUUUCCAGAAUGGCUUUUCAAACAGGUACCAGUGAUGAUGGAGAGGAAUUGUUCUGAGAAGUUAAUAGUCAUUGCUCGAGGUCCGAAUAAUAUUGUCAACAGAUAUGAUGGGUUCAUUAUAAAUGGUUUUAAAUUUCAUACUAAAGAGCGUGAGAAAUUUAGAAAAACCCAAAAUAGUGGAGUUAUGGUUGAAGCGGACGAAAAAAAUUGUUAUGGUGCUCUAACA